GGGGGGGGGUUCAAUCUUGAUCACUAAAGGCGAGGUGAACCUUUGUCUAGUCUUAUAUAAGGCGAAACUCUCAAAAUGCGGGAAACUCUUAAAAACAAAUCUACCAAGUUAAUAUAGUAAUAUAAUUAAUGGAACAGGUAAUGACUCGUUGUAUGGUAAAAACGAUUUGUAUAUGUAGAAAAUCUGCUACCAAGCACCUAGUAUUCUAAGGAAUAAGGGUGUGCAGUUCAUCGACUAAACGUGAGUUGGUUUUUUAUUAAUAAAAGAUAUUAAUAAUUAGCUUAAGAUAUAGUCAGGCUCAAUAUAUGAAUAUUGG
rnacentral:ncRNA from 1 species